rnacentral:rRNA from 1 species
GAUGAACGCUGGCGGCGUGCCUAAUACAUGCAAGUCGAGCGAACAGACGAGGAGCUUGCUCCUCUGACGUUAGCGGCGGACGGGUGAGUAACACGUGGAUAACCUACCUAUAAGACUGGGAUAACUUCGGGAAACCGGGGCUAAGACCGGAUAAUAUAUUGAACCGCAUGGUUCAAUAGUGAAAGACGGUUUUGCUGUCACUUAUAGAUGGAUCCGCGCCGCAUUAGCUAGUUGGUAAGGUAACGGCUUACCAAGGCAACGAUGCGUAGCCGACCUGAGAGGGUGGUCGGCCACACGGGAACUGAGACACGGUCCACACUCCUACGGGAGGCAGCAGUAGGGACUCUUCCGCAAUGGACCAAAGCCUGACGUAGCAACGCCGCGUGAGUGAUGAAGGUCUUCUGAUCGUAAAGCUCUGUUAUUAGGGAAGAACUAAUGUGUAAGUAACUAUGCACGUCUUGACGGUACCUAAUCAGAAAGCCACGGCUAACUACGUG